GAUUGUUCUGGUGGCCUAGUGGUUAGAGCAUCUGCCUUGGAUGCAGGAAGUUGUGGGUUUGAUCCCUGGCCAAAUCA